rnacentral:misc_RNA from 1 species
GAUGAAGAACGCAGCGAAAUGCGAUAAGUAGUGUGAAUUGCAGAAUUCAGUGAAUCAUCGAAUCUUUGAACGCACAUUGCGCCCGCCAGUAUUCUGGCGGGCAUGCCUGUCUGAGCGUCAUUUCAACCCUCAUGCCCCUAGGGCGUGGUGUUGGGGAUCGGCCAAAGCCCGCGAGGGACGGCCGGCCCCUAAAUCUAGUGGCGGACCCGUCGUGGCCUCCUCUGCGAAGUAGUGAUAUUCCGCAUCGGAGAGCGACGAGCCCCUGCCGUUAAACCCCCAACUUUCCAAGGUUGACCUCAGAUCAGGUAGGAAUACCCGCUGAACUUAAGCAUAUCAAUAAGCGGAGGA